AAUCAACGCUGGCGGCGUGCCUCAGACAUGCAAGUCGAACGAUUAAAGCUCUCUUCGGAGAGUGUAUAGAGUGGCGCACGGGUGAGUAACACGUAAGUAAUCUACCCUCGAGUGGGGAAUAACAACCGGAAACGGUUGCUAAUACCGCAUAAUGCAGCGGCACCGCAAGGUGACAGUUGUUAAAGAUUUAUCGCUUGAGGAGGAGCUUGCGGCAGAUUAGCUAGUUGGUAGGGUAACGGCUUACCAAGGCUACGAUCUGUAACCGGUCUAAGAGGACGGCCGGUCACACUGACACUGAAUAACGGGUCAGACUCCUACGGGAGGCAGCAGUCGGGAAUUUUGGACAAUGGGCGAAAGCCUGAUCCAGCCAUGCCGCGUGAGUGAAGAAGGCCU
rnacentral:rRNA from 1 species